AUUGAACGCUGGCGGCAUGCUUUACACAUGCAAGUCGAACGGCAGCGGGGAGGAGCUUGCUUCUCUGCCGGCGAGUGGCGAACGGGUGAGUAAUACAUCGGAACGUGUCGAGAAGAGGGGGAUAACCACCCGAAAGGGUGGCUAAUACCGCAUAAAUUCUGAGGAAGAAAGCUGGGGACCUAGGAGUAGGCCUAGCGCUUUUUGAGCGGCCGAUGUCGGAUUAGCUAGUUGGUGAGGUAAAGGCUCACCAAGGCGAAGAUCUGUAGCGGGUCUGAGAGGAUGAUCCGCCACACUGGGACUGAGACACGGCCCAGACUCCUACGGGAGGCAGCAGUGGGGAAUUUUGGACAAUGGGGGCAACCCUGAUCCAGCCAUGCCGCGUGUAUGAAGAAGGCCUUAGGGUUGUAAAGUACUUUUGUUAGGGAAGAAAAGUCAGCUGUGAAUAAUGGCUGAUACUGACGGUACCUAAAGAAUAAGCACCGGCUAACUACGUG
rnacentral:rRNA from 1 species